CCUACGGGCUGCAGCAGUGGGGAAUAUUGGACAAUGGGCGAAAGCCUGAUCCAGCCAUGCCGCGUGUGUGAAGAAGGCCUUCGGGUUGUAAAGCACUUUCAGUGGGGAAGAAAGCCUUGGGGCUAAUACCCUCGAGGAAGGACAUCACCCACAGAAGAAGCACCGGCUAACUCCGUGCCAGCAGCCGCGGUAAUACGGAGGGUGCGAGCGUUAAUCGGAAUUACUGGGCGUAAAGCGCGCGUAGGCGGUCUGAUAAGCCGGUUGUGAAAGCCCCGGGCUCAACCUGGGAACGGCAUCCGGAACUGUCAGGCUAGAGUGCAGGAGAGGAAGGUAGAAUUCCCGGUGUAGCGGUGAAAUGCGUAGAGAUCGGGAGGAAUACCAGUGGCGAAGGCGGCCUUCUGGACUGACACUGACGCUGAGGUGCGAAAGCGUGGGUAGCAAACAGGAUUAGAUACCCUAGUAGUC
rnacentral:rRNA from 1 species